rnacentral:rRNA from 1 species
AUUGAACGCUGGCGGCAUGCUUUACACAUGCAAGUCGAACGGUAACAGGCCUUCGGGUGCUGACGAGUGGCGAACGGGUGAGUAAUGCAUCGGAACGUACCCAGAGGUGGGGGAUAACGCAGCGACAGCUGUGCUAAUACCGCAUGUGAUCUGAGGAUGAAAGCGGGGGACCGAGCAGCAAUGUUUGGCCUCGCGCCUUUGGAGCGGCCGAUGUCGGAUUAGCUAGUUGGUGGGGUAAAGGCCUACCAAGGCGACGAUCCGUAGCUGGUCUGAGAGGACGACCAGCCACACUGGGACUGAGACACGGCCCAGACUCCUACGGGAGGUAGCAGUGGGGAAUUUUGGACAAUGGGCGCAAGCCUGAUCCAGCAAUGCCGCGUGCGGGAAGAAGGCCUUCGGGUUGUAAACCGCUUUUGGCAGGAACGAAACGGUGUCCGCUAAUACCGGGCGCUAAUGACGGUACCUGCAGAAUAAGCACCGGCUAACUACGUG